rnacentral:rRNA from 1 species
AUUGAACGCUGGCGGCAGGCCUAACACAUGCAAGUCGAGCGGAGCGGCGGACGGGUGAGUAAUGCCUAGGAAUCUGCCCGGUAGUGGGGGAUACCGUCCGGAAAAGGGCGCUAAUACCGCAUACUAUCAGAUGAGCCUAGGUUGGAUGAGCUAGAUGGUGGGGAAAAGGCCUACCAAGGCGACGAUCCGUAACCGGUCUGAGAGGAUGAUCGGUCACACUGGAACUGAGACACGGUCCAGACUCCUACGGGAGGCAGCAGUGGGGAAUAUUGGACAAUGGGCGAAAGCCUGAUCCAGCCAUGCCGCGUGAGUGAAGAAGGUCUUCGGAUUGUAAAGCACUGUAGGUUGGGAGGCGUUACCGACAGAGUAAGCACCGGCUAACUUCGUGCCAGCAGCCGCGGUAAUAC